GUCUAUAGCUGUACCAUCCUGAACUCAUCCAAUCUCAUCUGAUCUCAGAAGCUAAGUAGGGUCGGGCCUGGUUAGUACUUGCAUGGGUUAGUGCAGAUA
rnacentral:rRNA from 1 species